UACGAAGGGGGCUAGCGUUGCUCGGAAUCACUGGGCGUAAAGCGCACGUAGGCGGCUUGUUAAGUCAGGGGUGAAAUCCUGGAGCUCAACUCCAGAACUGCCUUUGAUACUGGCGAGCUUGAGUCCGGGAGAGGUGAGUGGAACUGCGAGUGUAGAGGUGAAAUUCGUAGAUAUUAGGAAGAACACCGGUGGCGAAGGCGGCCCACUGGAUCGGUACUGACGCUGAGGUGCGAAAGCGUGGGGAGCAAACAGG
rnacentral:rRNA from 1 species